rnacentral:rRNA from 1 species
UACGUAGGGUGCAAGCGUUUGUCCGGAAUUAUUGGGCGUAAAGAGCUCGUAGGCGGUUUGUCGCGUCUGUCGUGAAAGCUUGGGGGCUUAACCCUAAGUCUGCGGUGGAUACGGGGCAGACUAGAGGCAGGUAGGGGGAGAACGGAAUUCCCGGUGUAGCGGUGAAAUGCGCAGAUAUCGGGAGGAACACCGGUGGCGAAGGCGGCUCUCUGGACCAGCACUGACACUGAGGCACGAAAGCGUGGGGAGCAAACAGG